AAGUUUGGAAUAGAAGUAUGGCACAUAAGUUGUAACCGCCAGGUUAAUCAUUUCAUCUGUGUCAACAGUUAUGAGUCAACGUUAAGCUAGCUUCGAAAAUUACCAAUGAAAUCAUAGGUAAACUCGAGUGAUUUCGCCUGUAACUUGUCGGUGAUGUGUUUUAUUCCGUGUAUAUGUUGGAUAACCUUAAUGUUUUUCAUCAACUCACAGUCAGAGUAAACGUGAAAGUCGUGCAACCUACCGUCAACUAUUUAGUUCAAACUCAUUGUAUUCCACUGAAUGUGUCAUCGAAAUCAUACAGAUCACCGACCCCAGCAUCAUGGACCAAUCUCUCAUUCCAUCUUCUAGAGAAUCUUGGAUAACUGAUUCAUGGUUUCAUGUUUUCGAAAUUGGCAUGACUGACUUUAUGAGAAGUUAUGUCCUUUCAAGAAAAAGGACUUACACUUACAGUCAACAAGAUUCCUUGUUUGCUAACCCGUUAUUGGCUGCUACCCUUGAAUCUCCCUAUAUGUCAACAACAAAAAAAGAGGUUAAAUAUUGUGAUCAUGCUAUCAUCAUUAUGUUGCCUAUAAGACCAAAUGUGGGGCAUCUGGUUAUCCCUCCAAAAUAAGGCAAUGACCACACGUUGAACGCGGAUCAUUCGUUUCGUCAUCGAUCUUGACUCAUUCCAUCUUCUGGAUUGCUUAGGAAAGCUGAUUGGUGUUAAAUACCUGUCAUUUAGGUAAUGGCCGAGGAGAUGCGACCUACAUGAACAUCAUUUAGGCGGCCAGCAUCAUUCGACUACCCAACCGGCUUCUACUACCCUGCUCUCAACAUAGCACGGAGUUUCACCCUUUAGAUUUUUGCCUGCUGUUCGCGAUGUGUGAUGGCGUUUCCUUGGAUGAGAUGAUGAUUUUGGCGAGAAAAAUAGUGCGUUUUAACCUUCAGCUUUCUAAAUUUGCAUGACAGACUUUAUAUGAAAAGUAAUGUUCUUUUAAGAAAGUCAACUUCCUUGUUUGCUAACCCAAUGGCUGCUACCCUUGAAUCUCCCUAUUUAGCUUCUUACACAGUCCCUCUUGAUUUGAGGGUGAUCCUUCGCUACUGAUCAUGGACUCAAUUGGUGAAACUGAAAACCGACG